UACAGAGGGUGCAAGCGUUAAUCGGAAUUACUGGGCGUAAAGCGUGCGCAGACGGUUGCGUAAGUCAGAUGUGAAGCCCCGGGCUCAACCUGGGAAUUGCAUUUGAGACUGCGUAGCUAGGGUGCGGAAGAGGGAAGCGGAAUUUCCGGUGUAGCGGUGAAAUGCGUAGAUAUCGGAAGGAACACCAGUGGCGAAAGCGGCUUCCUGGUCCAGCACCGACGUCAGGCACGAAAGCGUGGGGAGCAAACAGG
rnacentral:rRNA from 1 species